GAUGAACGCUGACAGAAUGCUCAACACAUGCAAGUCGACUCGAGUCUUCGGACUUGGGUGGCGCACGGGUGAGUAACGCGUAAAGAACUUGCCUCUUAGACCGGGACAACAUCUGGAAACGGAUGCUAAUACCGGAUAUUAUGGUUUUUUCGCAUGGGUAUGGUGUGGAAAGUUUUUCGGUCUGGGAUGGGCUCGCGGCCUAUCAGCUUGUUGGUGAGGUAAUGGCUCACCAAGGCGACGACGGGUAGCCGGCCUGAGAGGGCGACCGGCCACACUGGGACUGAGACACGGCCCAG
rnacentral:rRNA from 1 species